GCAGUGUACCCGCGGCAAGACGGAAAGACCCCGUGAACCUUUACUAUAGCUUGACACUGAACAUUGAGCCUUGAUGUGUAGGAUAGGUGGGAGGCUUUGAAGUGUGGACGCCAGUCUGCAUGGAGCCGGCCUUGAAAUACCACCCUUUAAUGUUUGAUGUUCUAACGUGGACCCGUGAUCCGGGUUGCGGACAGUGUCUGGUGGGUAGUUUGACUGGGGCGGUCUCCUCCUAAAGAGUAACGGAGGAGCACGAAGGUUGGCUAAUCCUGGUCGGACAUCAGGAGGUUAGUGCAAUGGCAUAAGCCAGCUUGACUGCGAGCGUGACGGCGCGAGCAGGUGCGAAAGCAGGUCAUAGUGAUCCGGUGGUUCUGAAUGGAAGGGCCAUCGCUCAACGGAUAAAAGGUACUCCGGGGAUAACAGGCUGAUACCGCCCAAGAGUUCAUAUCGACGGCGGUGUUUGGCACCUCGAUGUCGGCUCAUCACAUCCUGGGGCUGAAGUAGGUCCCAAGGGUAUGGCUGUUCGCCAUUUAAAGUGGUACGCGAGCUGGGUUUAGAACGUCGUGAGACAGUUCGGUCCCUAUCUGCCGUGGGCGCUGGAGAACUGAGGGGGGCUGCUCCUAGUACGAGAGGACCGGAGUGGACGCAUCACUGGUGUUCGGGUUGUCAUGCCAAUGGCACUGCCCGGUAGCUAAAUGCGGAAGAGAUAAGUGCUGAAAGCAUCUAAGCACGAAACUUGCCCCGA
rnacentral:rRNA from 2 species